GUAGGGUGCAAGCGUUAAUCGGAAUUACUGGGCGUAAAGCGUGCGCAGGCGGUUUUGUAAGUCUGUCGUGAAAGCCCCGGGCUCAACCUGGGAAUUGCGAUGGAGACUGCAAGGCUUGAAUCUGGCAGAGGGGGGUAGAAUUCCACGUGUAGCAGUGAAAUGCGUAGAGAUGUGGAGGAACACCGAUGGCGAAGGCAGCCCCCUGGGUCAAGAUUGACGCUCAUGCACGAAAGCGUGGGGAGCAAACAGGAUUAGAUACCCUGGUAGUCCACGCCCCUAAACGAUGUCUACUAGUUGUCGGGUUUUAAUUAACUUGGUAACGUAGCUAACGCGUGAAGUAGACCGCCUGGGGAGUACGGUCGCAAGAUUA
rnacentral:rRNA from 1 species